AAGAGAUAAAUGCUACUCUAGGAACUGAGUACCCAAGUGCUGGAAAACUGUUAAAAUGAAACCAUUUCACAUUACCAGUAAAAUUCUGAUUAUGGUUUUUCUUUGACUUUAGAGGGGUGUCUUCCAAAAGUUUGCCUUCUGGUGGCUUUGUAAGAUCCAUUAUGGAGCAGCUGGCCCUGGUUUCUCUAAGCAAAGGAUGUGAGCAGCUGAAAAAGGUAAAACCCACAUGUGAACUACUGCCUAGUCUGGAUUAGCUGCCAGGAAGCCAAGUCAUGCACCUAGAGAAAGCCCUGGGUGAUUCCCCUCCAUGACAACACCCUGGGCUCCCAGCAGGCACCCAGCCAGACUGGUGGGAUCAACACCCUAUCAAGAGCCACUUCAUUCUCGUAAACACACAAAGCCCCAGAAAGAAAUGGAGCAAAUGUUUCCUAUGGUAAGUGUGAAAACCCCAACAAUUGCUGGCUCCUUCCAGCUGAAUUUUGCUCUAUAAUUACUGAGCUGAGUAUAGGAAAUUAAAGUUGUGUUUUUCAGCAGCUUUUUCCAUUGGCCUUACCAGAACUGCACUUGGUAGCCAUUUCUACAGAGUCAUUAUUAUUGUACUGACACCAUCAUCAGAGAAAAGAGUUGUGGUGCAAAAAGAUUCUUUAGCAUGUACAUGGC
rnacentral:lncRNA from 1 species